GCUGGAGUGUUCUAGUUGGUUACAACGAUCGCCUCACACGCGAUAAAUCCCGAGUUCGACUCUCGAUUCCAGUA